GUGGGGAAUCUUCCGCAAUGGACGAAAGUCUGACGGAGCAACGCCGCGUGAGUGAAGAAGGUUUUCGGAUCGUAAAGCUCUUUCGUUAGGGACGAACGUGCUCUUUGUGAAUAAUGAGGAGUAAUGACGGUACCUAAAUAAGAAGCCACGGCUAACUACGUGCCAGCAGCCGCGGUAAUACGUAGGUGGCAAGCGUUGUCCGGCAUUAUUGGGCGUAAAGCGCGCGCAGGCGGGAUAUCAAGUCUGUCUUAAAAGUGCGAGGCUCAACCUCGUGAGGGGACAGAAACUGGUAUUCUUGAGUGUCGGAGAGGAAAGUGGAAUUCCAAGUGUAGCGGUGAAAUGCGUAGAGAUUUGGAAGAACACCAGUGGCGAAGGCGACUUUCUGGACGAUGUCUGACGCUGAGGCGCGAAAGCUAGGGGAGCGAACGGGAUUAGAUACCCUAGUAGUCC
rnacentral:rRNA from 1 species